rnacentral:lncRNA from 1 species
GAUGCUUUCCAAAUUAUGUUUUCUAUAUUUUUCAAAUUUUCUGCAAUGCAUGUGUCAACUUUAUAAUGAGAGAAAAGUACUUAGCAUAUUUGAAGAGCAGUUAUAUGCUGAAUGAGCGGUAGAUUCAGGGAUGACUUGAAGCUGGAACUGCUCAAGAACAGCUUCCCAAUGAGGUGUGACCUUCUCUCUGGGAGUGUCCAGGUCUGCACUGGGUGGGGGAGUUGAACAAGAGAGUGGCCAAGUGUGAGAAAGGUUGGGAUGAAAAGGAAAAUGACCUUUACUGAGCAUCUGCUACAGACUGGUUUCUAUGUUCCAAAGCUGAGAUUAAAAAUCAAAAUAACUUCUGCAAUGAACUAAAGCUGGUAAGUGUUGGAGCUGAGACCUGAAUCCAGGACUUCCUGGCUCUGAAGCACAAAUUUGAAGCAGCCUUCUUCACCUGCAGGAGCCAGGCCUGCAUCAGUCAUCUGUUUAUAAGGCCAACAGCCUGAUCACCUCUUGCAAUCAACCAACAGCCUGUGCCACCUCUUGGGAUCACACAGCAGGCAGCAAACUUAUGGAACGUGGUUUCCAUGGAGGCAGAAGGAAGAUAAGGUUGGAGAAGCAGCUGCCUAAAUGGCCUGUGGGCCUGAACAUGAGGGGUGCCCGGCCCUCAGGGACCCCCACUUCUUGUGUUCUUUCAAAGAGUUUUCAAGGUGGAAGAAAACAGAGUUGACUGGGGUUGCAGACUAAGCUGACACAGGUAGGGUGGGGACAGUGUGGCAGGCUCCAGCAAGCACCGGAUCAGUACCUUCAGCCCUAGUACUUCUCAGCUAACUAGUGGUAAAGGUGGGCCUGGGCCUCAGGACCUUAUGGAAAUAGACAUGAAGGUCCAUUUGGAUGGAUGGACUGUGUUUUAAAAGCCUCUGCUUUUGCUAAUGGAUGGUGAAGCCCGUAUGCUGUUGCACCCUCUCCCAGACUCUCUUCACAGGGACCCACAGACUCCUCCACUAGAACCCUCCCCAGCAGACAGCAGCUCCCCUUCAGUUGGUCUGUGGGCACUCGAAGCUGUGUGCAACCAGGCCAAUGAGGUUGGUGAGGCUAAGGAGGAUGGCCUUGAGAAAAACCAAGCCAGGACGUCUGGGAUCAAGAAGACAGAACACACUACAACAGCUGGAAGGAGUGGAGAAAUGUACAGAUAAAGCAAAAUAAUCAGGAUAUGAGAUCUCGUUCCAUGCCCAGUUAAUCAUCUAUAAGCUGUAUUCAAGGCUGCACAUUAACUUCACGAAUACGCCACAGACACCUCAAGUGCAAGAGGUUUAAAGCCAAACUCCGUGUUUUAACCACCCAAUAUGUUUCCUUCCUGUGUUCCCAAUUCCAGAAAAUGCCUCGGUUAGGACUUUCUGAGCCUUAGUUUUUCAACCCACAAAAUGGAGGGAGCAAUGCCUGCUCUGUCUACCUGGGCUGCCAGAGUCAGGUGAGAACCCAGACAGAAACACACAUUGGAAAAUAACAAAUGUGAGGAAGACAGAGACCAGAGCAUGCUCACUCACUGCCAACAUUGGUCACCUCGUUAUUGACUCUCAAAGGAGGGACCCCGUCUCACAUGAGCAUGUGAUGGCACCAUGCAAAUUGCAAUGGGCUGCACCAGCAAAAGAAUGACAAACCAAUGAGGCUGGCACCAUAAGACAAGAGCACCAGAGACUUCCUUCAGAUGCUACACACAGACAUUUCCACAGAGACCCGUUAGAGACUAAAACUGAAUUUUAGUAUGAAACAAGGGACUGACAAUGACAGCAGGAAUUUUCAGCAAGAAGGGAAAGGAGAGCAACACAUAGCGGGCUUGAGGGAGGGCUAAUUGGAGCAAGCAGGGAUGUGGUUAAAAGGGGAGGACCUCAGCGGUAAUCAACUAUAUCGCUUAUUUCCCAGUGGAACCAUUUAAACUGAGAGAGGAUGUGGAGGUUAGCCUCCAGCAUGGCUCACAGUGAUCCCCAUCUCCUGGAAAUCAUAUCCUUGUGUAGUCUCCUCCCAGACUGAAUAGGGGUGACCUGGAGAACCAAUAGGGUAUUGAGGUGAUCACAGUGUUUGACUUCUGCACCUGUGUCAUAAAGCACAUAAUGACAUCUGCCUUGGAUCACUCACUCUGUGGGAAGCCAGCUUCCCUGUGGUGAGGACACUCAAACAGUCUUAGGAAGAAGCUUCCAUGGAGAGUAACUGCAGCCUCCUGACAACAGUCAGCAAGGAACUAAGACUUCCUGCCAACAGCCACAUGAGUGACCCAUCUUGGGAGAUGAUUCUCCAGCCCCAGUCAAACCUUCAGAUGAUGUGGUUCCAGCCAACGUCUUGAGAGCCUGUGAGCAGACUCCCAGUUACACCACUCCCAGAUUUCUGACCCAUUAUACUAUGAGAUAAUUAAUAAAUGAUUGUUGUUUCAAUUCACCCAAGUUUGGGGUUGUUUGUUAUACAUCAACAGAUAACUACUACAGAGGGUGUAUUUCAUUUCUAAUUACUUUCCG